GUAGGUGGCAAGCGUUGUCCGGAAUUAUUGGGCGUAAAGCGCGCGCAGGCGGUUCUUUAAGUCUGAUGUGAAAGCCCACGGCUCAACCGUGGAGGGUCAUUGGAAACUGGAGAACUUGAGUACAGAAGAGGAAAGCGGAAUUCCACGUGUAGCGGUGAAAUGCGUAGAGAUGUGGAGGAACACCAGUGGCGAAGGCGGCUUUCUGGUCUGUAACUGACGCUGAGGCGCGAAAGCGUGGGGAGCAAACAGGGAUUAGAUACCCUGGUAGUCCACGCCGUAAACGAUGAGUGCUAAGUGUUAGGGGGUUUCCCGCCCCUUAGUGCUGCAGCUAACGCAUUAAGCACUCCGCCUGGGGGAUACGGCCCGCAAGGCUG
rnacentral:rRNA from 1 species